UUUGGGACGCCCGAUCUGUCCAGGGAUGAUGGAAGGAUUGCAGAGGGAGAUGAGACAUAAUUUAUGCAAACUGUUUCUCUGAGUACCAGGGAUGUGGACUCCUCAGUAAACGGCCCUGUUAUAAUGACGCACUUCACUUUCUGGGCUGAGCGUGGCAGACGCCCUUCAGGAGGAGCUUUUCCACGUGACUCCUCCCACCACCAAGUGGUAAACUACCUGAGGGAAGGGCUGUUCACCUUGCAACCCUGAAGCCUAGCACACAAGGUGUGUACUCAUUUUUUGUGAGCAGAUGAGAAAUCUCCUGGCCAUCUGGAAACAACUGCAGCAGUCGGCGCAAAUCUUUGCAAAGCUGGAAGCGUUGAGCACAGGCAGCGGUUCUGGUGCCAAAGUCUCCGGCGUUACCUUUGUGGGUAGUGUGUCCUUCAUGUGGCAGUGUCAUCUCGGCAAGGUCCGCAGGGAGCUCAGCAAAGCAAGUGAUGAAAACGACAUUGUUUUCCUUUGUGAUGUUCUAAGGGACCCAUAAUAUGCCAGAAGAGACCCUUCAAGCUGGCUCCUAUGUCUUUUGGCUUGGCCUGCACAUUUCAAGAUGUUUGAGGAUCCUCCUCUACCUUCCAUGCCCUGUCCCUGGAAUCCUCCAUUUCUCCAAGGAGCCUGGUGCCGUUUAGUGGGAAGUAGUGUAUGAAGAACACAGUCUUGAUAGUAAGGACCCCAUGAAACAACAUACUGUUUUCCACAGCUGCUCUACCAUUUUACAUACCCAUCAGCAAAGCAAAAGGAUUCCAACUUCCUC